GGGGGUGUAGCUCAGUUGGGAGAGCACCGGCUUUGCAAGCCGGGGGUCGCCGGUUCGAGCCCGGCCAUCUCCACCA
rnacentral:tRNA from 1 species